rnacentral:lncRNA from 1 species
GGGCAAGGUAGGGGAGUGAACAACGGGAGAACUGGAUGCCGUCCAAAAGAGUGAAUGAGCUACACAUUUCGGUGAAUCAAUGGUUGGCAAAAGCUGUCACUGCAACAUCCAAGGGGGCGGAACCAUUAACUGGCAAAGCUGGAUAUGCUUAAUACUUUUCUCUCAAAUAGAGAUAUUUCCUUCGGGCUGACGCGGAGAGCAUAUUUUACCCUAUUGGUCGAGUGAUUUUUUUAUCUCCUUUCAACCUAAACAGCGCGGGAAAGGCCCUAAGCCGGAAGAGUGAAGCAG